GUUGUGGCUCAGAGGUAGAGCACUUGCCUAGUACGUGCGAGGCCCUGGGUUCAAUCCUCAGCACCACA
rnacentral:tRNA from 1 species